AUGAACGCUAGCGACAGGCCUAACACAUGCAAGUCGAGGGGCAGCACAAGGAGCAAUCUGAGGUGGCGACCGGCGCACGGGUGAGUAACACGUAUGACAACCUGCCUGUAAGCGGGAAUAACCCGUGAAAGACGACUAAUACCGCAUAAUACUAAAUUACUGCAUGGUAAUUUAUUUAAACAUUUAUGGCUUACAGAUGGGCAUGCGCAUGAUUAGCUAGUUGGAGAGGUAACGGCUCCCCAAGGCAACGAUCAUUAGGGGUUCUGAGAGGAAGGUCCCCCACACUGGUACUGAGACACGGACCAGACUCCUACGGGAGGCAGCAGUGAGGAAUAUUGGUCAAUGGACGAGAGUCUGAACCAGCCAAGUCGCGUGCAGGAAGAAUGUCCUAUGGAUUGUAAACUGCUUUUGCAGGGGAAUAAAGUGCAUCACGUGUGAUGUUUUGUAUGUACUCUGCGAAUAAGGAUCGGCUAACUCCGUGCCAGCAGCUGC
rnacentral:rRNA from 1 species